rnacentral:other from 1 species
GGUCCCCUGCUUUGCGCGUGAUAGAUACGUCUUGUUCCUCGUGAAAAAAAAAUAACGGGAGCUAUCUUCUGGAAAGGGUGUGCAUGCCCAGAUAGGACUGGGAAGCCUAAACUUUCUUAUAUGGCGCCCACCUGGUUGCUACCAGGAAUCAAGUCUAUCUGCACGGCAAAAGCGGGGGAUUU